rnacentral:SRP_RNA from 1 species
GCCAGGUGUGGUGGCCCACGCCUGUAAUCCCAGCUACUCAGGAGGCUGAGGCAGGAGAAUCACUUGAACCCAGGAGGCAGAGGUUGCAGUGAGCCGUGAUUGUGCCACUGCACUCCAGCCUGGGUGACAGAGUGAGACUCUGUCUCAA